GGAUGAGUAGGCAAGUGGUUUAAGCCAGCGGUUUACUAAACCGCCGUCCCCUUAAAAGGACCGUGGGUUCGAAUCCCACCUCAUCCG
rnacentral:tRNA from 1 species